rnacentral:rRNA from 1 species
UACGUAGGUGGCAAGCGUUGUCCGGAAUUAUUGGGCGUAAAGCGCGCGCAGGUGGUUCCUUAAGUCUGAUGUGAAAGCCCACGGCUCAACCGUGGAGGGUCAUUGGAAACUGGGGAACUUGAGUGCAGAAGAGGAAAGUGGAAUUCCAAGUGUAGCGGUGAAAUGCAUAGAGAUUUGGAGGAACACCAGUGGCGAAGGCGGCUUUCUGGUCUGUAACUGACACUGAGGCGCGAAAGCGUGGGGAGCAAACAGG